rnacentral:snRNA from 1 species
AUACUUACCUGGUGCUGGGACGUCCAUGAUCACGAAGGAGGCAACCCGGCCGGAGGCUGGCCAUUUUACCGUGGUCAGUUGAAGCCUACCACUUUUUUUAAACUGGGUUAGUUGUGGCAUGCAAUUUUUGGGAGUGAGGGCACGGCUGCGUGCCAUCCCCCU